GAAUGCUCUCUGAGGUCAGGUGUGUGGGUCAUGGAUCCCACGCCAGUCUGGGAAGUGACGCCAUUCCCACCUCAAGGGUGUGCCUGCUGGAGGGGUGUUGGGUAAUAAACAGCAUUCCAUGCACAGAUAUCAAUAGUUGUCUGUAAUCAGGAUCAUAGCAGGCAAGGUUUCCAAACAAGUGCUGUUGUGUAAGCGCCCAGGAGGCGUAGAAAUAGAGGCUCCUCCGCCCUCAGCAGCCUCGCUGGGUCCCAGGUCUCAGAGCAGCUCCUCCAUCUUCUCCCGCCACCCAGGGUCCAGCUGGCGUUCACCAUGCGGGACUCUGCUUCAUGCUCCUGACCUGCUUCAUCCUCUUUCCUCACAUGGCCCAAGCCCAUAUCCUGGUCAUAAACACAGAAGAGAGCUGCAAUCCUGUUGGCGCCCGGUGUAGAUUUCUUUCUUGCCCAGAAGAUCAUGUACAUAUUGGUUACUGUUGGAUCUUCAGAAUAGGAAGAUGCUGUUUGCGCCAUGAUGAGCUGAAGAACACGGGAGGACAAGGAACCCAGAGAAUGAAAUAAAGGGCUGACUUUAACUCUGAAAGUGCCACAGUGUUCUUUCCUGAAAAUAAAGAAAUGACUCGUGCUGUAUUUUAAAAAUGUGA